AUCCCGCGACUGGCUGACUUUUCUCCUUCCACCCAGGUGUUGGCAGUCCUCUAGGUGAACAGAAAGGGACUGCAGGUGAGCGCAAGAUCAGGGCGGGUUAUUAGGGUGUGUACCGCCCACUCCAUCAAGAUGGGAGCUUCCAGCGGUCAGGCCUGUGGCCCCAGGGCCUCCUGUAGACGGGAAGGGCCUCCCGCGGUUAUAGCUCCCCCCCAGGGGAGGGGCUUCUUAAACAGAAUCCUCCUCGGGAAGCGUCCUCCGCUUGUAACUGUCACGGUAAUCUGGGGAACAAAAGCGAGAACACAGGCCCACUGAACGAAUCGCUUUGUCAGGCUCCACGACGCUGCUCUGCUGUGACGCCAGCUCUGGAGGGGACAGCAGCAUCAGAGCCACAAACCCUCUGACAGCCCCAGCACGUGCCGUCUGUUAAUACACUGAGAGCCGGCGGUGCUCAGGAGUGUCGCC
rnacentral:lncRNA from 1 species